UACUUUGGCACAAGUAGUUUCAGGAAGUCAACGCCUUGGUAAGGACCAUCGGCCUGUACGAUGACCCCUUCUCAUAAUAAAGGAUACUCCCAAAAAUCUUUUCUUUCUAAAACUUCUUCUUGUGACUUUUCAAGUCUAAAUCUUUUCUUUAUAGAACAUCAUGUACAUGCUCAUGCUGGUAUCCUUAAAUGUAAAACAUGGCAUAAGAAUAAAAUAAACAUGUAAAAGUAUUUCUAAAGAUUUUUUCUUCUUCAUAAAUUUUCAACAUGAAAAUAACAUAUAAGAAUAACACAAAAAUCUGAAAAUUUAAGCACAUAUAUCAUAAUAAAUCAUCUAAACUUUUGCUAGAACAAUUCUAAGUUAAUAGGUACUCACUCGCUCCAAUUAAGUAAAUAUAAACUGUUUUAAGCAAUUCAUCAAACACCUUGUAUGUGUGCUUUUGUGAGUUAAACCACUUUAGUAAAGAGUUAUAUCAACUCACCUCGAAACUUCUCGAGCCAAUACAUAGACCCCAGUCUAAUUGAUAUCAGUCAAACAAUCGAUUCUACAACAACCAAUGCAGAUUAAUCAAUUUUAAAGUUUCACACCUAAACAUGAAAUUUAUUGUUGAUAUAGAGGAAGAAGAAGAUUAACUAUUCUAUUCUUACCUACUACUACUUUAGGAUAAUUGAGAAUAGGAAAUUCUAUGUACCUGAAUUCAAGAAUUAGUGAUAUCUGAAGAACCCUAUAAUUUUUCGUUAAAUUUCUGCUGCCUCUCGUAAUACCGUGCGCCUGUUUCUCUGUUUUCUG
rnacentral:lncRNA from 1 species